rnacentral:rRNA from 1 species
UACGAAGGGGGCUAGCGUUGUUCGGAAUCACUGGGCGUAAAGCGCACGUAGGCGGAUCUUUAAGUCAGGGGUGAAAUCCCGAGGCUCAACCUCGGAACUGCCUUUGAUACUGGGGAUCUCGAGUCCGGGAGAGGUGAGUGGAACUGCGAGUGUAGAGGUGAAAUUCGUAGAUAUUCGCAAGAACACCAGUGGCGAAGGCGGCUCACUGGCCCGGUACUGACGCUGAGGUGCGAAAGCGUGGGUAGCGAACAGG